rnacentral:rRNA from 1 species
GAUCAUGGCUCAGGAUGAACGCUAGCGACAGGCCUAACACAUGCAAGUCAGGGGCAGCGGAGAGGUAGCAAUACCUUUGCCGGCUACCGGCGCACGGGUGAGUAACACGUAUGCAAUCCACCUGUAACAGGGGGAUAACCCGGAGAAAUCCGGACUAAUACCCCAUAAUAUGGGCGUUCCGCAUGGAGAGCUCAUUAAAGAGAGCAAUUUUGGUUACAGACGAGCAUNCGCU